rnacentral:rRNA from 1 species
AAGGGAAUCUUCCGCAAUGGACGCAAGUCUGACGGAGCAACGCCGCGUGAGUGAAGAAGGAUUUCGGUUCGUAAAACUCUGUUGUUAGAGAAGAACAGCGCAUAGAGUAACUGUUAUGCGUGUGACGGUAUCUAACCAGAAAGCCACGGCUAACUACGUGCCAGCAGCCGCGGUAAUACGUAGGUGGCAAGCGUUGUCCGGAUUUAUUGGGCGUAAAGCGAGCGCAGGCGGUCAAUUAAGUCUGAUGUGAAAGCCCCCGGCUCAACCGGGGAGGGUCAUUGGAAACUGGUUGACUUGAGUGCAGAAGAGGGGAGUGGAAUUCCAUGUGUAGCGGUAAGAUGCGUAGAUAUAUGGAGGAACACCAGUGGCGAAGGCGACUCUCUGGUCUGUAACUGACGCUGAGGUUCGAAAGCGUGGGUAGCAAACAGG